CCUGCUUCUGUUGAAGAAUACCUGAAGGACUUCAUCCAGGACCUGAGGCAUGUAACUCAGGUGGGUUUACAUUGCAAUGGAAUACAUUACAAGAUUGCGCUUCCUGAUGCCUUCAUCUGUGAUGCCCCAGCCCAUGCCUUUGUAAAACGUACCAAGGGUCAUUCAGGUUACAGCUCCUGUGAACGCUGUACAGAGCAUGGAGUUCGGACAGAGAACAGGGUUGUUUUUCCAGAUCUGGCUGCACCACUGAGAACAGAUGAACAGUUUGAACAUAUGGCAGAUGAUGGACAUCAUCAUGGUGUUUCACCCCUACAAGAGCUAGGCAUAGGAAUGGUUUCAUGCUUUGUUCUUGACUACAUGCAUCUAGUGUGCCUAGGAAAUGUUAGAAAACUUGUUGGUCUGUGGAUCAAAGGACCAUUACAGUGUAGGGUUUCUGCAGCAACCAUCACAGUUAUCUCCAGCCACUUAAAAACAAUCAGAGAACAUCUGCCGAGGAAUUUUGCUCGAAAACCACGGUCACUCAUGGAAUACAGUCAGUGGAAAGCCACUGAAUUCAGACAGUUUUUGUUGUACACAGGCCCUGUGGUUCUUAAAGGACAUUUACCUGCAAGACUUUACAAGAACUUUGUUGCUGUCUGUAGCAAUAAGAAUUCUUCUUAGCCCAGCUUUGUGUUAUAAAUACUGUGAUUAUGCUGACAAACUAUUGAAAUGUUAUGUAACCAAUUUUGCAAAGAUUUAUGGAACAGAGCACCUUGUGUACAAUACCCACUCUCUAAUUCAUCUGGCUGAUGAUGCAAGGAAGUUUGGACCUCUUGACAAUGUUUCAUGUUUCCCUUUUGAAAAUUAUCUGGGGACAUUAAAGCAGCUGGUGAGAAGACCACAAAACCCUGUCCAACAAGUUGUACGGCGCUUGGGUGAAAAACCCAGCUGUCCUCAAGGAAAGAUGAAGGAAAUGAGGAACAAGCCUCAACCACCAAGUGCAUGUGGUCCAACUCUGUCAAACUUUCCCCCUUGUGUACAGUACAAAAGGUACAUAUACAAGGGAAACAUUAUAUCUUGCUCUCAAGGCAACAACUGCUUUGAUGUUGAGGGCAAGGUUGCCAUUGUGAAGAACAUUGUGGAGUUUGCAUCUGGAGAAAUGUAUGCUGUGUGCCAGUUUUACAAGAGACAAGGAUGCUUUUACGAUUAUCCUAUUGACGUUACGUGUAUGGGGAUCAGAAAGGUUACACAGCUUGAUGAUGGGCUUCAUGGUGUGCUUCUGACUGACUUGACAAAAAGACUGAUACUGCUUCCUGUUCAAGAUGAAAAUGUAGUCUUUCCCCAGUUACAUGACUGUUGAUCUACCUCAUAUGAACUUUGCAGCAUGCCCCUCUUCAGCAUUGUGGAGUUCAGGGGGGAAGUGUCAAGUGAAGGAAGGGCUCUUGUGGAUAUUAUUCCAUCAUGUUGGUUCACUGAUGAGGACAAGACGGACUGUUUUUGGCCAGUAGGCCACAAUCUUAAUAUCACCAAGGCAGUGAAACAACGUCAACAGCCAGAUGCCUCAUGGGGGACAUACAGUGUGCGUGCACUUGGACAUGCAGACACAUAUGAGGAUGCCCGUCGCAAGCUCGCCCGAGCAGAGGCUACUUCUGAUCUUCAAACAGACGACGAUAUACCAAAGAAGAGACAAAGAAGGUCGCCAUGGUUGGAGAAAUUGGAGGUUCAACGAUAGAUGAUGCAACCCGAAGAAUGAUGGCAUUUAUAAUGUCACCUGACCUGGCACUGCAAUACAACCUCUUUAGACGUCAUGGAAAGAAACCCUUCAGGGAGCUACGUCUAUUUGACCUUGUUUAUGGAGCACUGAAGAAGAACAUAAACCAGAAGGAUGCAGAGAAGGCUCUCUCAAAAUGGUUUACAGGAGCUAGGGACAGAGGGGGCAAGCGGGCCGCCAGAGCGCAGAGGGAGUUCACCAAAAGAGGUGAAACACAGGCCCUCCAGUCUCAAGAUGAGACACAAAUCCAAUAGAGCUCAGCAAUCUGGUACUGGAAGUAAAAGUCUAUAUAAAGACAAGUGUUUGUUUAGAGAUUUUAAAAAAAAUGUCAAUUGAGGAUAUGAUUGGCAAAUAUAAUUUCAAAAACUAGAACUACUAAAAAGAGUGAAUGGGCAACGUUGAAACUGUACUUCUGUUUGGAGAUUUGUGUUGUUGUUUUUUUCUGUUCAACCGUCCUUUCAAUUUCUGUUCAACCUUGUCAAUCUUUUAAUGCUAUCUAUUCUCCACAUAUGCAGGUUGUGCAUUUUCUAGUUACAGUGGUAGUUUUAACUCAGAUGGUAGUGAUGACACUGACUCAGAGUCUUCAAAUUGUUCUGCCUUUAUAGCCCAAAACCUCUUAUUCAUGCUGUUUUAAGUCAAACCAAAGCUCUUUUUAUUCAAGUACAGUGAAGGCAGAACAAUGGAGAUGGCUAUACAAGUUCCCAUGCCUGCCAUCCUGGUUUGAUAUGUAUUUCCUUAACAUUUUGAGCAGUAAAGUGAAUAGUGCUUACAGGACUGCAGUGUUUAUACCCUAAAAUGGUUUGUUUUUCAUGAUGGGGAAGUUUAUAUUAAAUUCAAGUUUGUUUUAAACACA